ensembl:lncRNA
GUGAGUCACGUCGCGGUGACUGUGAAGAGGACCAGCAGCACACCUUCCACGAACCAGACUUUUGGAAAUGGAGACAAUCGAUGCCCUGUCAUUAUAUCUUGGAUUUUAAAUAAACGAUUCAAAUUUCAAAUACUUUUCCAAGAAAUGGUCCGACGGGACCUUCUGGAGUGCUGGUGGACCAAACUUUUCCUAAAGUUUGAUGUGUCUCUGAUUAAAUAGGAACAGGCACAGUUUAUUUUAAGAACUUCUCUCCAGAAAUAGUACAACGUACACGUUUUAGUGGUUUAUCCGAUGAUAUUAUAAACGUGUUGUUGUUGUUUUGGUGGUGGAUGGCAUCUCAUUGUCACAGCUUCUUGUCCCCUGUGGGUGAAAGAGUCGGCCAACAGGGGGUGACCCCAGGCAGCCCACUGGAUUAGAAAGAAAGAAGCAAAAGGCCUCUUGUGAGACAGCAGCCGGGGAACCGCUCAUCCCAGGUCAGGGAAAUGUGCCGACCUGCUGCCAGCAGGCAGGAUUGCCCCAACCAUCAUGGUCGGACCUGCCGCGGGACCUGUGAACCGACGUCUCAAGAAGCACCGAGAGGAGUUAUUUAAAAGUGCUCCUCUCCAGCCGGUGCUCGUGUUACCUCACUGGGAAUAAUACUUAUGCUCGUGGCCCCUGACUGACAGGAGCUGCUGGUCCACUGGUCUACGGUUCAAUGAGUAAUCGCGGUGAGGGGGGGAGUUUUGGGUCCCUCUUGGUUGUUUCCUUUGCAGAUGUAAAUCAUUAAAAUACGUUUCAUAGCAUCCAAAACACUUCACUAACUAGCUCAUUAAGUGGGAUCCACGGUGUCUUUUAUACAUGUAGACGGAUCUCCUGGGAGCUACGAACGCGCUGGCCUCUGCUGACGGAGCAGUGUUCCUGGCUCCAACUCUUUGGACACGUAUUCUACAACACCAGAGGUCAUUUGAUAGCACAGCUCCCACAACUAAAAAUAGAUCGGGAGAUUUCUGGGGUUUUUGUUUUGACUUCAACCCUUGGAACUGGUUUCAUUAACCUCUUUUUGGAACUCAGUAAACACAUGUGGAAAGAAAUCUAACCAUCACCUUUUGUCUCUGCUGGUUACACGUGGC